rnacentral:rRNA from 1 species
GCACCUGGUGGCGAGUGGCGAACGGGUGAGUAAUACAUCGGAACGUACCUUAUCGUGGGGGAUAACGCAGCGAAAGCUGUGCUAAUACCGCAUACGCCCUGAGGGGGAAAGCGGGGGAUCGAAAGACCUCGCGCGAUUAGAGCGGCCGAUGCCUGAUUAGCUUGUUGGUGGGGUAAAAGCCCACCAAGGCGACGAUCAGUAGCUGGUCUGAGAAGACGAUCAGCCACACUGGGACUGAGACACGGCCCAGACUCCUACGGGAGGCAGCAGUGGGGAAUUUUGGACAAUGGGGGAAACCCUGAUCCAGCAAUGCCGCGUGAGUGAAGAAGGCCUUCGGGUUGUAAAGCUCUUUUGUCAGGGAAGAAACACCGGCUCUAACACAGUCCGGGAAUGACGGUACCUGAAGAAUAAGCACCGGCUAACUACGUGCCAGCAGCGGCGGUAAUACGUAGGGUGCGAGCGUUAAUCGGAAUUACUGGGCGUAAAGCGUGCGCAGGCGGUUAUACAAGACAGGCGUGAAAUCCCCGGGCUUAACCUGGGAAUGGCGCCUGUGACUGUAUAGCUAGAGUGUGUCAGAGGGGGGUAGAAUUCCACGUGUAGCAGUGAAAUGCGUAGAUAUGUGGAGGAAUACCAAUGGCGAAGGCAGCCCCCUGGGAUAACACUGACGCUCAUGCACGAAAGCGUGGGGAGCAAACAGGAU